CUUCAUUACUUAAGUGACAUGCCCAGAAAUGGGGUACAGACUCCCUGGAGCUCCCUACAUCCCUCUACUGCUUUCUUGUGAAGUUUUGCCUAGUGCUUAGUAGGUCUUUGAGAGAGAUUUCUAGAAUGAAUGAGGGGAAGGGAUGCAGAGCAGCCUGAAGCCACGCCCUGCUUGUAUGACACUUCCUUUCCUGGAAUAUCUUUGAAAACAGGGAAUAACAGCCUGGGAUCAAGAGCUUGCAUAUAACCCCAGGAUGGCAUGUUUUAAAAGUAGAAAAUGUCAAAACUGAGGCACAGAGAAAUGAAUAAUUCCAGGAAAAUUGAAGUGCCACCACCGUCUGCAACUGUAGAUGUGGAACCUCAGACAUUUCCACGGUGACAUUGAGAUGUGCAUCUCCUUGAGGUCAAACCUGGAGAGAACAUGUUUGAUGGAAGAACUGAAGUCACUGGGCUGCUGAAAUUGUCACCUCUGUUUGGAUAUGACAGUGAGCUGCAAAUCACACAUCACAUUCCGGACACAGAGGCAGGGAAGGUCAAUGCUAUGUGACUCAGCUCAGGGGUGUCUGGGAUACAAUAAAACAGAUGUCAGGAUCGGUAGGAUGAAUAAAGCCACAUGGACAGAAAGGAUUCCAGGCUCUGGCGAUGGAAACACAUUUCCCGCAGGCUGGAGUAACCAAAGAGACAAACCUUUGGCAAGGAGAACCUGCACACAGCAAAUGCAGAGACACCUGCUACUUUGGAUGGGUGUGAUGCUCUCUCUGCGAGGCAGAAGCCAGACAAGACGCGAAGAGGAUUGGUAGUUUCAGAAUCAGAAACCUCAGCUCAGGUUCCUCCCAAAUGUCACUCUGUAGAAACUCGGCAUUCCUGCUGCUGGAGGAAGUGAACCUGGAGACACAGCUUUCAUCAGCAAAUGGAAAAGACGUUCAGAGCAUAGCCAGAGGUGCAUUGUGUGUAGAAGCUCCAACGUUCCAACAACUGCUGCAAGCCUAUGUGGAUACUUCCAAAGGAUUGCUUCUCCCAUGAUCUUACAGCACAUUCAGAUGACCUGUUCAACAUUCUCCACCGGAUUUUUAUUGCUUUGUUUUGCCCUCUGAUGGGAUGGCCGAUCUACAUCCUCACGGGAACUCAGGAUUCCAAAGUUAAUGCAGCAUUUUCCACGGGCAAACUUUCCCAAGGGAAAAGUUAGUAGAGCGAUGCUGGCCACUUACCAGCUCUGCACUAUAUACUACUCACAGACUCCUGUGCAUAUUGUACAACAUCUCCGUCCGUGGAUCAUCGCACACUUUCUCCUUAUGGGGCUAAUGAUACUGCCGAAACUUCAGGCUGAUGUUUAUGGAUCCCUGUUUCCUGUGUCACUGAGCAGAGCUGAACCUCUCCAGUGAGCUGUGAAUGAAAUUGCUACUCUGCCUCUGCCCUCACCGACUCGAGUUGUUUAAUAGGCAUG